rnacentral:rRNA from 1 species
UACAGAGGUCUCAAGCGUUGUUCGGAUUCAUUGGGCGUAAAGGGUGCGUAGGUGGCGUCGUAAGUCGGGUGUGAAAUUUCGGAGCUCAACUCCGAAACUGCAUUCGAUACUGCGGUGCUUGAGGACUGGAGAGGAGACUGGAAUUCCUGGUGUAGAGGUGAAAUUCGUAGAUAUUAGGAAGAACACCAGUGGCGAAGGCGGCUCACUGGUCCGGUACUGACGCUGAGGUGCGAAAGCGUGGGGAGCAAACAGG